rnacentral:rRNA from 1 species
AACGAACGCUGGCGGCGUGCCUAACACAUGCAAGUCGAACGGAGGCAAGGGGCUUGCUCCUUGCUUUAGUGGCGCACGGGUGAGUGACGCGUGGAUAAUCUGCCCGAUGCUCAGGGAUAACAUCUCGAAAGGGGUGCUAAUACCUGAUAAGCCCACGGGCUCUUCGGAGCUUGCGGGAAAAGGGGGGGACCUUCGGGCCUCCCGACAUCGGAUGAGUCCGCGUCCCAUUAGCUAGCUGGUGGGGUAAAGGCCUACCAAGGCGACGAUGGGUAGCUGGUCUGAGAGGAUGAUCAGCCACACUGGAACUGAGACACGGUCCAGACUCCUACGGGAGGCAGCAGUGGGGAAUUUUGCGCAAUGGGGGAAACCCUGACGCAGCAACGCCGCGUGAGUGAUGAAGGCCCUUGGGUCGUAAAGCUCUGUCAGAGGGAAAGAAAUGUGGGCGGAUAAUACCUGUUCCACUUGACGGUACCCUCAAAGGAAGCACCGGCUAACUCCGUGCCAGCAGCCGCCGUAACAC